rnacentral:rRNA from 1 species
GAUGAACGCUAGCGGGAGGCCUAACACAUGCAAGCCGAGCGAGCGGCGUACGGGUGCGGAACACGUGUGCAACCUGACUUUAUCAAGAGGAUAGCCUUUCGAAAGGAAGAUUAAUACCCUAUACAUAAAGAUCGGCAGGCGCAAGAUUAGCUAGUUGGUGAGGUAACGGCUCACCAAGUCGACGAUCUUUAGGGGCCCGGAGAGGGUGCUCCCCCACACGGGUAAUGGGACACGGACCGGACUCCUACGGGAGGCAGCAGUGAGGAAUAUUGGACAAGGGGUGCAAGCCUGAUCCAGCCAUCCGGCGUGUAGGAAGACGGCCUAUGGGUUGUAAACUACUUUUAUCUGGGGAUAGGUACCAGAUGAAGAAGCACCGGCUAACUCCGUGCCGGCAGCCGCGGUAAUAC